rnacentral:rRNA from 1 species
AACAUCACCUCCAGCAUUCCCAGUAUUGGAGGCAUUGCCUGCCCAGUGACAACUGUUUAACGGCCGCGGUAUCCUGACCGUGCAAAGGUAGCAUAAUCAUUUGUUCUCUAAAUAAGGACUUGUAUGAAUGGCCGCACGAGGGUUUUACUGUCUCUUACUUCCAAUCAGUGAAAUUGACCUUCCCGUGAAGAGGCGGGAAUGCACAAAUAAGACGAGAAGACCCUAUGGAGCUUUAACUAACCAACCCAAAGAGAAUAAAUUUAACCAUUAAGGAAUAACAACAAUCUCCAUGAGUUGGUAGUUUCGGUUGGGGUGACCUCGGAGAAUAAAAAAUCCUCCGAGCGAUUUUAAAGACUAGACCCACAAGUCAAAUCACUCUAUCGCUCAUUGAUCCAAAAACUUGAUCAACGGAACAAGUUACCCUAGGGAUAACAGCGCAAUCCUAUUCAAGAGUCCAUAUCGACAAUAGGGUUUACGACCUCGAUGUUGGAUCAGGACAUCCUGAUGGUGCAACCGCUAUCAAAGGUUCGUUUGUUCAACGAUUAAAGUCCUACAUGAU